GUUAGGAAUAUUGGACAAUGGGCGCAAGCCUGAUCCAGCCAUGCCGCGUGAGUGAUGAAGGCCUUCGGGUUGUAAAGCUCUUUAGCCGAUGAUUAUAAUGACUGUAGUCGGAAAAUAAGCCCCGGCUAACUUCGUGCCAGCAGCCGCGGUAAUACGAAGGGGGCGAGCGUUAUUCGGAAUCACUGGGCGUAAAGCGUGCGUAGGCGGCUUUGUAAGUUGGGAGUGAAAGCCCAGGGCUCAACCCUGGAAUUGCUCUCAAAACUGCAAGGCUCGAAUUCGGGAGAGGAUAGCGGAAUUGUCAGUGUAGCAGUGAAAUGCGUAGAUAUUGACAGGAACACCAGUGGCGUAAGCGGCUAUCUGGACCGAUAUUGACGCUGAGGCACGAAAGCGUGGGGAUCAAACAGGAUUAGAAACCCUAGUAGUCC
rnacentral:rRNA from 1 species